AUUUUCAGACUUCAUGGCCUCUGAUAAGGAGGAAAGAGCCUGAUAUUCUGGUUUUGUUUCUGUUUGAGGAGUGUAUACCCAGAGGAAUUGUAUGUGUCCCAGAUUCAACACAGCUGUUAAUUAGAGCUGAGAACACUUGGUUGACCCCUAUGUGGCUAAUUGCUAGAAUUGAGAAGCGUCUCUAAGGGCCUCGUAUGAUAACAACUGAAAAUUGUACUGAGCCUCACCUAAGGCUUCGGGAGCCAGCUCAGGACGGGAAGCAAUAGGCUCCCCGCAGUUCCUGGCACUGGAGAGGCAGCUCUGUGCUGAAGGAGCACUAUUAAGGAUUCUCUUCAGUGAUUAAAACACCCACAUUUCACUUUGGAUGUGAGGCUUGAGGCAGAGUGGUAGAAAAGGCUGGUGGGAGAGCUCAGAACUGUGUAGUGAAGUGUGUGUGGCCUACUUUGGGGGGCCUUGGCCGCUCCCUAAUCUUGCAGCCAGCACCAGCUGCACCCGCACGUCCCAGGCUUUCUCUGUGCUACCACACGGGGUGUGGGUUAUUCCUGUCGGAGACCCCACACUGCUUCUAAAUGAGCAGCUUGAGGUAAGUAUUGCUUCCCACACCUUAUGGCUGCACGAACGCCUAGCUCUCAAAAUGGGGGACACGUAUGAAAAUCAGGGUGACAAUCACUUCCUGUCUUCUGUCUGCUCUAUGAGGAGAGAACAGAAUCAGAAAGGUACAGUGUGAGCUGGAGUGGGGUGGGGAAGAAGAGGAGGUGAAUAACAGAGAGGAAAAGUAAGGCUGACCCUCAAAAGGCUGCCAGGGAUGGUGGCCAGAGAGAGGAGAAUGGGGACAGAGAGAUGGGGGGUGGGGGUCGGGGGGGGGGGUCUGAAGAGGAAGAGGGCAGAUGAGACCUGUCAGAGAAGCAAGGAAAGAAGAGCUUGCUCCUCCCUUGCAUGGGGGUUGGGGGAGGGUGGAGGAUGACGGGCAACAGGGAGUGUUUGGGCCUUCUCAGCCAAGAGGCUGAGAGUAUACCCCAGAUAGUACUCUGGCCGGCUCCACUACCUCAGCCUGGCCGAAGGAAGGUGUGCUGCAGCCAGCAUGUAAGGAGAGAUUCAUGAUCCCUUUUCCAGGAGAGGUUCAAACCGCGAGUCUAAUUCCAGGAAGUGAUAGCAACAGAAAGGCAACCCAGUCAGCCUCGCCCAGGGCCAGGUUGGGGAGAGACCCAAGGGAGUUGGAGGAAAAAGAAUUUAUUUCAUCGGCUAUUAGAGCCAAGGUAGGUUGUCAAGGGCACCCUGUUCCAGGGACAACUGGGGACUCUACUGGUCUUUUGUGAGUGUGGGGAUCAAAUUCAGGGCCUCCUGCAUGCUAG
rnacentral:lncRNA from 1 species